rnacentral:rRNA from 1 species
UGGGGAAUUUUGGACAAUGGGCGAAAGCCUGAUCCAGCAAUGCCGCGUGUGUGAAGAAGGCCUUCGGGUUGUAAAGCACUUUUGUCCGGAAAGAAAUCCUUGGCUCUAAUACAGUCGGGGGAUGACGGUACCGGAAGAAUAAGCACCGGCUAACUACGUGCCAGCAGCCGCGGUAAUACGUAGGGUGCAAGCGUUAAUCGGAAUUACUGGGCGCAAAGCGUGCGCAGGCGGUUUGCUAAGACCGAUGUGAAAUCCCCGGGCUCAACCUGGGAACUGCAUUGGUGACUGGCAGGCUAGAGUAUGGCAGAGGGGGGUAGAAUUCCACGUGUAGCAGUGAAAUGCGUAGAGAUGUGGAGGAAUACCGAUGGCGAAGGCAGCCCCCUGGGCCAAUACUGACGCUCAUGCACGAAAGCGUGGGGAGCAAAACAGGAUUAGAUACCCUGGUAGUCCACGCCCUAAAACGAUGUCAACUAGUUGUUGGGGAUUCAUUUCCUUAGUAACGUAGCUAACGCGUGAAGUUGACCGCCUGGGGAGUACGGUCGC